GAUGAACGCUAGCUACAGGCCUAACACAUGCAAGUCGAGGGGAAACGACAUCGAAAGCUUGCUUUUGAUGGGCGUCGACCGGCGCACGGGAGAGUAACGCGUAUCCAACCUGCCCCUCACUUGGGAAUAACCUUGCGAAAGUAAGACUAAUACCUAAUGACAUCCCACGAAGACAUCUGAAUGGGAUUAAAGAUUUAUCGGUGAUGGAUGGGGAUGCGUCUGAUUAGCUUGUUGGCGGAGUAACGGCCCACCAAGGCAACGAUCAGUAGGGGUUCUGAGAGGAAGGUCCCCCACAAUGGAACUGAGGCACGGACCAAACUCGUACGGGAGGCAGCGGUAAGGAAUAUUAGUCAAUGAACGAGAGCCUGAACCAGCCAAGUAGCGUGCAGGAUGACGGCGCUAUGGAUUGUAAACUGCUUUUAUAAGAAAAUAAAGGGGGUCUCGUGAGACUUUUUGCAUGUACCUUAUGAAUAAGGACCGGCUAAUUCCGUG
rnacentral:rRNA from 1 species